CCUACGGGAGGCAGCAGUGGGGAAUAUUGGACAAUGGGGGGAACCCUGAUCCAGCCAUGCCGCGUGUGUGAAGAAGGCCUUUUGGUUGUAAAGCACUUUAAGCGAGGAGGAGGCUACUAGUAUUAAUACUACUGGAUAGUGGACGUUACUCGCAGAAUAAGCACCGGCUAACUCUGUGCCAGCAGCCGCGGUAAU
rnacentral:rRNA from 1 species